AGAGUUUGAUCCUGGCUCAGAUUGAACGCUGGCGGCAUGCUUUACACAUGCAAGUCGAACGGUAACAGGGAGCUUGCUCCGCUGACGAGUGGCGAACGGGUGAGUAAUGCAUCGGAACGUGCCUAUUUGUGGGGGAUAACGUAGCGAAAGUUACGCUAAUACCGCAUACGCCCUGAGGGGGAAAGCGGGGGAUUCGUAAGAACCUCGCGCAAUUAGAGCGGCCGAUGUCGGAUUAGCUAGUUGGUGGGGUAAAGGCUCACCAAGGCGACGAUCCGUAGCGGGUCUGAGAGGAUGAUCCGCCACACUGGGACUGAGACACGGCCCAGACUCCUACGGGAGGCAGCAGUAGGGAAUAUUGCGCAAUGGGCGAAAGCCUGACGCAGCGAUGCCGCGUGAGUGACGAAGGUCUUAGGAUUGUAAAGCUCUUUUCUGAGGGAAGAAUAGGUCCGGUAGGAAAUGAUCGGAUUCUGACGGUACCUCAGGAAUAAGGAACGGCUAACUCCGUGCCAGCAGCCGCGGUAAUAA
rnacentral:rRNA from 1 species